rnacentral:rRNA from 1 species
GAUGAACGCUGGCGGCGUGCCUAAUACAUGCAAGUCGAGCGAAUGGAUUAAGAGCUUGCUCUUAUGAAGUUAGCGGCGGACGGGUGAGUAACACGUGGGUAACCUGCCCAUAAGACUGGGAUAACUCCGGGAAACCGGGGCUAAUACCGGAUAAUAUUUUGAACUGCAUGGUUCAAAAUUGAAAGGCGGCUUCGGCUGUCACUUAUGGAUGGACCCGCGUCGCAUUAGCUAGUUGGUGAGGUAACGGCUCAACAAGGCAACGAUGCGUAGCCGACCUGAGAGGGUGAUCGGCCACACUGGGACUGAGACACGGCCCAGACUCCUACGGGAGGCAGCAGUAGGGAAUCUUCCGCAAUGGACGAAAGUCUGACGGAGCAACGCCGCGUGAGUGAUGAAGGCUUUCGGGUCGUAAAACUCUGUUGUUAGGGAAGAACAAGUGCUAGUUGGAUAAGCUGGCACCUUGACGGUACCUAACCAGAAAGCCACGGCUAACUACGUGCCAGCAGCCGCAGUAA